rnacentral:rRNA from 1 species
UUAAUACUGGAUAGAUCAAAGAAACUGGAAUGUUCUUUGGUUUAAAGCUCCGGCGCCCAAGGAUGGGUCUGCGGCCUAUCAGGUAGUAGUGGGUGUAACGUACCUACUAGCCUACGACGGGUAAGGGUUGUGGGAGCAAGAGCCCUGAGAUGGAUUCUGAGACAUGAAUCCAGGCCCUACGGGGUGCAGCAGGCGCGAAAACUUUACACUGCGGGAAACCGCGAUAAGGGGACCCCGAGUGCCAGCACCUAGUGCUGGCUGUCCAGCUGUUCAAAACACAGUUGUUAGCAAGGGCCGGGCAAGACCGGUGCCAGCCGCCGCGGUAACACCGGCGGCCCGAGUGGUAGCCGUUAUUAUUGGGUUUAAAGGGUCCGUAGCCGGCCUAUUAAGUCUCUUGGGAAAUCUGGCGGCUCAAUCGUCAGGCGUUCA